ACAAUGAAGCGAGUGGCGAACUGGUGAGUAACACGUGGGGAAUCUGCCCAGAAGCAGGGGAUAACACUUGGAAACAGGUGCUAAUACCGUAUAACAACAAAAUCCGCAUGGAUUUUGUUUGAAAGGUGGCUUCGGCUAUCACUUNUGGAUGAUCCCGCGGCGUAUUAGUUAGUUGGUGAGGUAAAGGCCCACCAAGACGAUGAUACGUAGCCGACCUGAGAGGGUAAUCGGCCACAUUGGGACUGAGACACGGCCCAAACUCCUACGGGAGGCAGCAGUAGGGAAUCUUCCACAAUGGACGAAAGUCUGAUGGAGCAAUGCCGCGUGAGUGAAGAAGGGUUUCGGCUCGUAAAACUCUGUUGUUAAAGAAGAACACCUUUGAGAGUAACUGUUCAAGGGUUGACGGUAUUUAACCAGAAAGCCACGGCUAANUACGUGCCAGCAGCCGCGGUAAUACGUAGGUGGCAAGCGUUGUCCGGAUUUAUUGGGCGUAAAGCGAGCGCAGGCGGUUUUUUAAGUCUGAUGUGAAAGCCUUCGGCUUAACCGGAGAAGUGCAUCGGAAACUGGGAGACUUGAGUGCAGAAGAGGACAGUGGAACUCCAUGUGUAGCGGUGGAAUGCGUAGAUAUAUGGAAGAACACCAGUGGCGAAGGCGGCUGUCUAGUCUGUAACUGACGCUGAGGCUCGAAAGCAUGGGUAGCGAACAGGAUUAGAUACCCUGGUAGUCCAUGCCGUAAACGAUGAGUGCUAAGUGUUGGAGGGUUUCCGCCCUUCAGUGCUGCAGCUAACGCAUUAAGCACUCCGCCUGGGGAGUACGACCGCAAGGUUGAAACUCAAAGGAAUUGACGGGGGCCCGCACAAGCGGUGGAGCAUGUGGUUUAAUUCGAAGCUACGCGAAGAACCUUACCAGGUCUUGACAUCUUCUGCCAAUCUUAGAGAUAAGACGUUCCCUUCGGGGACAGAAUGACAGGUGGUGCAUGGUUGUCGUCAGCUCGUGUCGUGAGAUGUUGGGUUAAGUCCCGCAACGAGCGCAACCCUUAUUAUCAGUUGCCAGCAUUCANUUGGGCACUCUGGUGAGACUGCCGGUGACAAACCGGAGGAAGGUGGGGAUGACGUCAAAUCAUCAUGCCCCUUAUGACCUGGGCUACACACGUGCUACAAUGGACGGUACAACGAGUUGCNAAGUCGUGAGG
rnacentral:rRNA from 1 species